AUUGAACGCUGGCGGCAUGCUUUACACAUGCAAGUCGAACGGUAACAGGCCGCAAGGUGCUGACGAGUGGCGGACGGGUGAGUAAUGCAUCGGAACGUGCCCAGUCGUGGGGGAUAACUACUCGAAAGAGUAGCUAAUACCGCAUACGAUCUAUGGAUGAAAGCGGGGGACCGUAAGGCCUCGCGCGAUUGGAGCGGCCGAUGUCAGAUUAGGUAGUUGGUGGGGUAAAGGCUCACCAAGCCAACGAUCUGUAGCUGGUCUGAGAGGACGACCAGCCACACGGGGGCUGAGACACGGCCCAGACUCCUACGGGAGGCAGCAGUGGGGAAUUUUGGACAAUGGGCGCAAGCCUGAUCCAGCAAUGCCGCGUGCAGGAAGAAGGCCUUCGGGUUGUAAACUGCUUUUGUACGGAACGAAACGGCUCUGGUUAAUACCCGGGGCUAAUGACGGUACCGUAAGAAUAAGCACCGGCUAACUACGUG
rnacentral:rRNA from 1 species